rnacentral:rRNA from 1 species
AUUGAACGCUGGCGGCAUGCUUUACACAUGCAAGUCGAACGGUAACAGGCCGCAAGGUGCUGACGAGUGGCGAACGGGUGAGUAAUGCAUCGGAACGUGCCCAGUCGUGGGGGAUAACGCAGCGAAAGUUGCGCUAAUACCGCAUACGAUCUAUGGAUGAAAGCGGGGGACCGUAAGGCCUCGCGCGAUUGGAGCGGCCGAUGUCAGAUUUGGUAGUUGGUGGGGUAAAGGCUCACCAAGCCGACGAUCUGUAGCUGGUCUGAGAGGACGACCGGCCACACUGGGACUGAGACACGCCCGAGACUCCUGCGGGAGGCAGCAGUGGGGAAUUUUGGACAAGGGGCGCAAGCCUGAUCCAGAAAUGCCGCGUGCAGGAAAAAGGCCUGCUGGUUGUAAACUGCUUUUGCACGGAGCGAAACGGCCCUGGUUAAUCCCCGGGGCAAAGGAGGGAACCGUAAGAAUAGGCACCGGCAAACUACGGGCCGGCCGCCGCCGUAA